UACGGAGGGUGCAAGCGUUAUCCGGAUUCACUGGGUUUAAAGGGUGCGUAGGCGGGCAGGUAAGUCAGUGGUGAAAUCUCCGGGCUUAACUCGGAAACUGCCAUUGAUACUAUCUGUCUUGAAUACCGUGGAGGUUAGCGGAAUAUGUCAUGUAGCGGUGAAAUGCUUAGAUAUGACAUAGAACACCAAUUGCGAAGGCAGCUGGCUACACGAAUAUUGACACUGAUGCACGAAAGCGUGGGGAUCAAACAGGA
rnacentral:rRNA from 1 species